ACAGGAAGAAGCUUGCUUCUUUGCUGACGAGUGGCGGACGGGUGAGUAAUGUCUGGGAAACUGCCUGAUGGAGGGGGAUAACUACUGGAAACGGUAGCUAAUACCACAUAACGUCGCAAGACCAAAGAGGGGGACCUUCGGGCCUCUUGCCAUCGGAUGUGCCCAGAUGGGAUUAGCUAGUAGGUGGGGUAACGGCUCACCUAGGCGACGAUCCCUAGCUGGUCUGAGAGGAUGACCAGCCACACUGGAACUGAGACACGGUCCAGACUCCUACGGGAGGCAGCAGUGGGGAAUAUUGCACAAUGGGCGCAAGCCUGAUGCAGCCAUGCCGCGUGUAUGAAGAAGGCCUUCGGGUUGUAAAGUACUUUCAGCGGGGAGGAAGGGAGUAAAGUUAAUACCUUUACUCAUUGACGUUACCCGCAGAAGAAGCACCGGCUAACUCCGUGCCAGCAGCCGCGGUAAUACGGAGGGUGCAAGCGUUAAUCGGAAUUACUGGGCGUAAAGCGCACGCAGGCGGUUUGUUAAGUCAGAUGUGAAUCCCCGGGCUCAACCUGGGAACUGCAUCUGAUACUGGCAAGCUUGAGUCUCGUAGAGGGGGGU
rnacentral:rRNA from 1 species